rnacentral:rRNA from 1 species
GACGAACGCUGGCGGCGUGCCUAAUACAUGCAAGUAGAACGCUGAAGCUUGGUGCUUGCACCGAGCGGAUGAGUUGCGAACGGGUGAGUAACGCGUAGGUAACCUGCCUGGUAGCGGGGGAUAACUAUUGGAAACGAUAGCUAAUACCGCAUAAGAGUAGAUGUUGCAUGACAUUUGCUUAAAAGGUGCAAUUGCAUCACUACCAGAUGGACCUGCGUUGUAUUAGCUAGUUGGUGGGGUAACGGCUCACCAAGGCGACGAUACAUAGCCGACCUGAGAGGGUGAUCGGCCACACUGGGACUGAGACACGGCCCAGACUCCUACGGGAGGCAGCAGUAGGGAAUCUUCGGCAAUGGACGGAAGUCUGACCGAGCAACGCCGCGUGAGUGAAGAAGGUUUUCGGAUCGUAAAGCUCUGUUGUAAGAGAAGAACGAGUGUGAGAGUGGAAAGUUCACACUGUGACGGUAUCUUACCAGAAAGGGACGGCUAACUACGUGCCAGCAGCCGCGGUAAUACGUAGGUCCCGAGCGUUGUCCGGAUUUAUUGGGCGUAAAGCGAGCGCAGGCGGUUAGAUAAGUCUGAAGUUAAAGGCUGUGGCUUAACCAUAGUACGCUUUGGAAACUGUUUAACUUGAGUGCAAGAGGGGAGAGUGGAAUUCCAUGUGUAGCGGUGAAAUGCGUAGAUAUAUGGAGGAACACCGGUGGCGAAAGCGGCUCUCUGGCUUGUAACUGACGCUGAGGCUCGAAAGCGUGGGGAGCAAACAGG